CAACAACCCUGUUAAGGCAGGACUGAGAGCCCAGACUCGUUAGGAAUGAAGGUUUGGGUCACCCCACCUGGCAAGGAACCAUGACCGGCUCAGUGAUGAAGCAACUGCCAUUGUGGAGAGGCCCAUGGGGCCAGGAGCUGAGGAGCUGAGGUCCUCCAGUCCAACAGUCUGCAGGGAGCUGAAUUCUGCCAGAACCAUGUGAGUUAGGAAGCAGAUCCUUCCCCGGUGGUGCUUUCAGGCUCUGAGGACCGGCGGCUGAGAUUAAACAACUUAUUACACAAAGAACCAUUUAAUUGCAAGCACAAUCACGCUUAGUGGAGAAGGAGAGAACGGAGCACGGUUUAAGAUGAUCUCCUCACCAGUUCUGCAAGAGACGGGGUUUCACCGUGUUGCCCAGGCUGGUCUCAAAC
rnacentral:lncRNA from 1 species